rnacentral:ncRNA from 1 species
GAAUGAUAAAUUAGAGGUGUGGAGACAAACUCUUGAGUCUAAAGGGUUCAGGUUGAGUAGGAACAAGACAUAGUAUUUGGAAAGCAAGUUUAUAGCCUACAGUGAUAUAUUCAACGAGUUUAUAGCCUUGGCCGACAGGCCCGAAUAAUCUUUGAACUUUCAUCAUGAUGGAGAUAGAUCAUUUCAAUUCUUGGUCUCCAAUGAGGAAUUCCUAGUAAGCGCGAGUCAUCGGCUUGCGUUGACUACGUCUCUGCCCUU